rnacentral:lncRNA from 1 species
CAUAGGUGACCCAAAUGGGACGAGUGAAGUCUCGUGAGGGUUUCCAGAGACGUUACCCACAAACAUCAUGCAUACUGAUCAUCAACAUCUACCUUGGGAGACUGAGUAGAUAUCCACCCCUCCGGCAUCGGGUGUUUUUUGGUUGAGGCGCAAUUCGAAUCUGUUUUCAAUGAACGGCCUGGUUAAGAGGUCGCUUUGCAAGUGACGUAAUCGACAGCGCGUGAUUAGGUUGUUGCUGUCAGGUGGUCCGACAGGCUCGACCUUGAACAAUGUGCAAGCCCAAUUGUCUUUGGUUUCAUUUCGGUCAGCAGCUGCGGCCAGGACCAAUAGCCUGUUUUGGUCCACCCUUCUCAAGUAGUUGCCGUUGUAGGAGCAUUUGAUAUGCACGUAAUUCUUGUCGGCGUAGUCCUCAUUGUUUGGCUUCUCCGUGGUGAACUUUAUGAACCUGCUGUUUUCAUUGUCCUCGGAAAAUUGGACAAUCUCAUUAAGGUCGCUUUCUGCAUCAAGUUGAUAACGCAAAUACUUGUUGUUGGUAUCUGCUUUCAGCAGAAAGGGGCUUGGUAGUACAGGUGGAGCCAUGUUGUAUAGUGUAGUUGGGAUUGGGAUGAUCUCUCUUUUUUUCUUCUCUCUUGAUGGUUUAAUUUACUUGCUGCGAGUGUGUUGCUCUGUUCAAACCUGCUAUCCUAUUUAUAAGAAAUUAAGCACAAGCUAGCUCAAGUUAUGGUCUUUAAUUAAUAUUAUUUUCGACAAAUCAGUUUCCCAUCUCUUUCAUUGAUAUGAACAUGGCUGAUCUCAUUGGUGUGACGCAAGAUUUGUUAAAAUAGCUGAUCGGAUUGAUUUCUUUGUAUAACUCUUCUGCCAAUUCUGCAACUUGUAGAUGCAAUUCCCAUUACAAAAUUAAAAAAAAAAAAAAAAAUCCUAAACUCAUAUAAGAUAAAUAAAGACUUUUUAUAUCAUAAAAUAAGAUUUUCUAACUUGUACACAAGACUUUAGUUACGAGAUCGAAUAUACAUUGAUGGGUGCGCAUUUUCCUUCGUCAUCUUUUCUGUGCUAUUAAUUUGUGCGAUUGUCGACUUUCAUAAAUUACAACGGCUACAGGUAAAAUGUCACUCCAGUUUUGAUAAAUAGUGAAGGCAUAUGGCAAAGUCUGUGCGGUCGUUUUUCAUGAAGCAAAUUCUUGUAGGUCUAAUGAUGGGGCAUAUGACAAAAACUUCUUUCUUGUUUAAAACUGAGCACAAAUUUUAAAUUUUGUUAUAACAUUUCACAACUAUUAAAGGUUAACUCAAUGACCGUAAGCACCAAAGAGAAAAAUGGUUAAGUGAAUGUUAUUAGAAUUAUAUAAAACUGCUUGCAUAGUAUUUUACGAAUAAGAAAUUUUAUAGAAUAUAGAAUAAGUAUUUCUUUUAAAAAAAAAAAAUUGGGAUGGUAUAUUACACUAAAAUAUUUGUUGUAGAAUUUAGAUAUGAUCAUAGAAAAAGACUUUGCCAAAUGUCAAAAAAAUUUAUACCACGUGGAAUGACUAUAAUUGCCAGAUAGUUAAAAGUUUUGCAACAUGUAAUCGACAUGGUUUCAUAGGACCUACAUCUAGUUGACUUGGUUGUUAAAAUUAAUGUAAGACUUUUAGUUGAUAUUUCUUGAGGGUGAAACACCUUUUGAGAAACGUUUUGGGCCUCAUUACAAUUUUUUCACUUAUUUUUAUGUUUCAACUUAAAUAUUCUACUAUAAAUACAUUUGGGCCUUAACAACUGGUAAAACCAUUUCCAAAUGUAUUUUAAAGAUUUUCUUAAUGUCACGGAAAAUAUUUUAUGAAAAUGAAAGAUUUGAAUUUCCACAAAAAAACGUGGGUUAACUCACGGUUUUUUGUCGGUUUUGUAAAUUCGUAUAAAUAUCUUUGUUAAAUCUAUUUGUUUUCACAUUAACCUUACCGUGAGGUACUUAAAAUUAAUGUAACUUUCUGUCGAUAUUCUUGAGUAUUGACCCUUGUUAAGGCAAAGAUUUGUGCCUCACUACGAUUUUUUUCAUUUAUGUCUUAGGUUUCGUCUUUCACAAAACACAUGGCUGUAGACCUGAAGUUUUGAUUAAAAAUAUUUGUAACAUGACAGCAUAUGGCUAUAGGCGUGGAGUCUUUGUUAACAAUUAAAAGUUUUGUAAUAAAAUAUUUGACUUGGUUUUAUAAGGCCUACAUCUAGAUGAUUUGGUUUUUAAAACAAAUAUAAGACUUUUUGUUGAUAUUUCUUGAGGAUGAAACACCAGUUGAGAAACGUCUUGCAUCUCAUUACAAUUUUUUUUUCAUUUAUUUUUUAGGUUUCAACUUAAAUAUUAUACUAUAAAUACAUAUGUGGCUCAAUAAUUGGUAAAAUCCAAAUCUCUUGUAAACAUUUUCUUAACGUCAUGGAAAAUAUUUUACAAAAAUAAAACAUUUGUAUUUUUCACAAAAGACAAAGGUUAACAAUCACGGUUUUUUUAUCGGUCAUAUAAAUUCAUUCGAAAAUCAUCAUUAAGUCCAUUUGUUUUCACAUUCGCCUUAUCGUGAGGUACUUAAAAUUAAUGUAUAGCUUUCCGUCAAUAUUCUUGAGGAUAGAUCCUCGUUAAGGCAAAUAUUUGGGGCCCACUACCAUUUUUUUUCAUUUAAUUUUAGGUUUCGGCUUAAAUAUACCAUUCAAACUAAAUCUUGGAUCAAUAAUUGGAAACAAAUACUCUCCCCAUGCGAGAUCCUUCGUCAAUUCCCCUGGCGAACUCUGAGUGCCUCUGAAGAAAUGAUUAACUGAAAUUAGAAUUUUUUAAACCUUGUGUUUGGUUGUAUCUAACGAUCCCUAAUACCAAAUUUAAGGUUUAGAUAUAUAAAAAAGAUAUCUCGGGUACUUCAUUGCUAUCCAUUAUGCUCCCUAGUUUCAAGCAAAGCAAAAAAUUCUAAUUGAGUUGAUUUUUGAACAUACAGAGUAGUUAGACAUCUGAAUUACCAAUCUUUAUUAUUAUUGCAACAAACACACAGAUUACACUAAAAGCUAGUGAAUCAUAAACUUGUAGAUGACUUAUCCAAACACAAAGAUAAGACAUGAGUUUAUUAUUGUUGCUAUAAACACACAGAUUACAGCGAAAUUCAAAAACUAAAAACAAGGAAAAAAGUAGUGAUGAAAACCAAUGCCACUUUCGUGGGGACACGAUUGCAUUCGCACAUGCAACAAGCCUUUUAAACCCAUAGGUGACCCAAAUGGGACGAGUGAAGUCUCGUGAGGGUUUCCAGAGACGUUACCCACAAACAUCAUGCAUACUGAUCAUCAACAUCUGACUUGGGAGACUGAGUAGAUAUCCACCCCUCCGGCAUCGGGUGUUUUUUGGUUGAGGCGCAAUUCGAAUCUGUUUUCAAUGAACGGCCUGGUUAAGAGGUCGCUUUGCAAGUGACGUAAUCGGCAGCGCGUGAUUAGGUUGUUGCUGUCAGGUGGUCCGACAGGCUCGACCUUGAACAAUGUGCAAGCCCAAUUGUCUUUGGUUUCAUUUCGGUCAGCAGCUGCGGCUA